ACAACUCCCAACUCAUAUUGCACGGUAUCAUCAACCGCAGCGCUGGGUUUCGUCUGAUAAGCUGAGGCAGCGACGUUCUUGUUCACUAUCUUCAAUUGGUCGUCCACCAUCGCCUUCGAGUGCAUCUCGCCACCGUCCUCGGCAAACUUCUGGCCACCGUGGACCUUCUUCACAACCUCCGGUUGGUGAUACCGUACAUCUUCCAAUUCAGGAAUUCCCUCUUCCUCUCUCACUUCCCUGGGAUCCCUGCUCGGAGUGUAGCUGCCGUAGUAGUUCGCCACCGCCGGAGUAUCAAAGAAGUUAAGGUAAUCCCA
rnacentral:misc_RNA from 1 species